rnacentral:piRNA from 1 species
UGCUAUGAUACUCAAGUUUCCCAUCCUAUA